rnacentral:lncRNA from 1 species
GGCCUUGCUCUUAUGUCAUCUGACUAAAGGUUUCAUAGACCAAAGAUAACCAUCCAACCUGUUGGAAUACUGAAACAAUUGCUGCCUGCUUUCCACACACUACAUAAAAUAUGUGGAUAUCCUAAAUUCUACAAAAAAAAGAUUUGUAAGCAAAUCAAGCAAUACUGGGACUCCCUCUUCUCCAGAAGAGACAUCCUGGCCUCCAUGCAGAGGAAUGUGUGGAUAGACAUAUAUUUAAGGAAGACACUAAACCAGAAAAUACUACAUUACACCCUCUUAAAAGACUUCUAAGAACAAAAGCUCAUUUCCUCAAUGCAGAAACUAAAAUGAUGUAUUCCUCACGAUUCAUACCUAGACCCAGGAGAAGAACAUAUGCCUGAGAAGAAGAACUAGUGUGGAACUGUCAGCCAGGUUUUUGGUGAGUGCUCAGACUGCUUCCUGAUCCGGCACCACAUUUACUACAGUGGACAGAUGCUCUAGUCUCUGAUGAGGAGUUGCUAGCUGUAAGGAAGUACCUGGAAUGGGCUCCACUGCAUGAGGUUUGAAGUCUCCAGAGCAGCAAGGAGAGUGGGGAGUAGAACACAUCAUCUUUAGGUCACUCAUCCCCG